GGCGCCGUGGCUAAGUUGGUUAAAGCGCCUGUCCAGUAAACAGGAGAUCACGAGUUCGAAUCUCGUCGGUGCCU